GAACGCUGGCGGCAGGCUUACACAUGCAAGUCGAGCGGAUGUAGCAAUACAUCAGCGGCAGACGGGUGAGUAACACGUGGGAACGUACCUUUUGGUUCGGAACAACACAGGGAAACUUGUGCUAAUACCGGAUAAGCCCUUACGGGGAAAGAUUUAUCGCCGAAAGAUCGGCCCGCGUCUGAUUAGCUAGUUGGUGAGGUAAUGGCUCACCAAGGCGACGAUCAGUAGCUGGUCUGAGAGGAUGAUCAGCCACAUUGGGACUGAGACACGGCCCAAACUCCUACGGGAGGCAGCAGUGGGGAAUAUUGGACAAUGGGCGCAAGCCUGAUCCAGCCAUGCCGCGUGAGUGAUGAAGGCCCUAGGGUUGUAAAGCUCUUUUGUGCGGGAAGAUAAUGACGGUACCGCAAGAAUAAGCCCCGGCUAACUUCGUGCCAGCAGCCGCGGUAAUACGAAGGGGGCUAGCGUUGCUCGGAAUCACUGGGCGUAAAGGGUGCGUANGCGGGUCUUUAAGUCAGGGGUGAAAUCCUGGAGCUCAACUCCAGAACUGCCUUUGAUACUGAAGA
rnacentral:rRNA from 1 species